rnacentral:rRNA from 1 species
UACGUAGGGUGCAAGCGUUAAUCGGAAUUACUGGGCGUAAAGCGUGCGCAGGCGGUUCGCUAAGACAGAUGUGAAAUCCCCGGGCUUAACCUGGGAACUGCAUUUGUGACUGGCGGGCUAGAGUAUGGCAGAGGGGGGUAGAAUUCCACGCGUAGCAGUGAAAUGCGUAGUGAUGUGGAGGAAUACCGAUGGCGAAGGCAGCCCCCUGGGCCAAUACUGACGCUCAUGCACGAAAGCGUGGGGAGCGAACAGG